AGAGUAAAAUAGUACGUGAAAUUGUUGAAAGGGAAACGAUUGAAGUCAGUCGUACCGACGAGAAAUCAACUUAUCGUGUGCGAACUUGUGGGCGUGCGUGAGUUUCGGCCUCGCUGUUUGCAUGUUUGUGUACUUUGGGUGCACUUUUUCGUAUGGUAGGCCAACGUCAGUUUCGAUCACUAUAAAAUGACUGGCGGAAUGUAGCUUCGACUUCGGUUGAAGUGUUAUAGCCACUGGUAGAUGUGAUGAUUGGGACUGAGGAUUGCAACGAAUACCCUUUGGGCUAUCCGUCUGGCCUCUGAAAGUUGCUCAGGUGCCGAAAGCGUGCUUACGGUCAUCUAAGAUAACGUUCAACAGGUUAGAACGUGAUUACAUUCGUUAAGGACGUUGGCGUAAUGGCUUUAAACGACC
rnacentral:rRNA from 1 species